UGGAAGUCUCAGUGGCGCCGCGAGAAAGCGAUCUAGAGGUGGACGGUGAAGUUGUGAUGGUUGUGGUAGCCACAGCGGUGAUUAGUUAUCUUUGUUAUUAAAGGCGUUUUUUUGCUACAGUUUGCAUUGAAAUGAGCUCUCAGGAGCGGAACGGAGCCUCGUCUUCAGCUGGGCACUCAAGUCAACCGCCGGUCUUUCCCAGGAUUUUUUAAACGUGGUUCAAAAAGACGUCUACCCAGCUGUAACACACCAGCAAAGUUAAAAAAAAAUUGGAAACCAUUCAUAUUUUCCGUGUUUCUUUUACACAAAAAUUCGGAGAUGACUCCCUCAUCAACAGCAGAGCUGGAGCUCAUGCAGGCUGGAUUGGGAAAACGAAAUCUGUCUAUGCCUGAUGACUUGACUCAUUCAGAGGUGUCCAAUUUGUUCUGUGAUGCUUACCCCAAAAUGAAGGCAGCAUCUGGAGGAUGGCUUCUCUACAAAGCAUCUGGUGGACAGGGAAGGCGGCGGCUGAAUUUAGUUCCCCCAGAAUCUGAAGGAUACUGUGGUAGUACCAUCAGAAGUGUAACUGGAGGGGGAAAAACCAUGCUGUAUAUUGUGCCUUUACAGGAUGAGUUUGACCUGUCACCUCUUCCAUCUGAUGCUCUGGAAUUCUCUUUGAUGCCAAAAGCUGAAUGCAAAAAAUGCUUUAAAAUGAUGCCACUGCAGAUUCUUGCCUUGCAUCUCAGAGAAUGCAGCACGCUGGAAUAUGAGACGCUUUCAGACUCUGAAGCAGAGGUAGCUGAUUUACCUUCUGCCACUGAAGAAGAGUCAACAGAUGCAAUAUGUCCUGUAUGCAUGAAAACCUUUCCUAUGAAAGAAUUGGAGCUCCAUGCCAGUUUCUGUGGUGAUUUGGAAAGUCCAGUGUCCAUUCGGUCAAGGAGUCCUGAAAUAUUGCCGCCACAAAAUGAAGUGACAUGUGAGGAGGACGUCCUAAAAUGGCUUGCCUCUCAAGUUGACACCACCAAAGAAUUCAGCCUCUGUGUGUCUAGAAUGAGUGUCUUGGAACGAGGUCUCUUACUGUGGAGGCGACAAAAGUUGAGCUCUCCAGUCAACACAUUAAAAAUCACAUUCUUGGGAGAGGCUGGAGUUGAUACGGGGGCUUUACGUAAGGAAUUCCUCACAGAAAUGAUUGGUGGCAUAGAGACUAGACUCUUUGAAGGAGAGGAUGGUAAAGGAAAAAUGCCCAAGUACUCUUUAAAUGAUCUGGACAAUGGACUGUUCAGAGUUGCUGGGGAGGUAUUUGCUGUUAGCCUUGCCCAGGGUGGCCCAGCUCCAAGAUUUUUACAGGACUGGUGUUACGAUUUUCUGUUGAGUGGAACCCUUGAAAACAUUACCAAGGAUAGUGUUUAUGAUGUUGAUAUUUCACCACUGAUUAAAACGAUCGAGGAGACUUCAGAUUUGUCUUCGUGUACUGAACAGAUAGUCAGCUGUGGUUACACAGGGCCUAUUAAUGAGACUAACAAGGAGAAUAUAACAAGAGCAAUUGUGAUGCAUGCUGCUGCUCGACGAACUCUCAUGCUUCAGCAGCUCCGUGAUGGUCUACAGCUUUAUGGGUUAAUUGAUGUCAUGAGAACAAACCGAGAAGUGUGCCGUAGCUUGUUUGUAGUUCAAGGUGGUAAUGAUAAGAUCUCUUCUCCCUGGCAUAUUGUUUCAGGUGGACUCUCAUUACAUUGUCCCAUCUUCACCCACAAAUGAGUGAGACUGGCAUUAAACAUGCCAAAGAUGUGCAAAUCCUCAAUCACUUCCAGGAUUUUCUAAUGGAGCUUGAAGAUGACGACAGUGUGGAUGAGGAGGCACUCUCUGUCCCACGGGUGAUGCAGUGGGUGAUUGGUCAAUCACAUAAGCACCUGCUUCUUUCAGAGAGACAAGCUUUUAAAAUCACUGUUCAAUUUGACCAUGCAUGUAUGCAACGGAUGCCGAGCCACACACUUUGCUUCCCUAUUGUCAGUGCAUGCACCCAGACAAUUACAUUUCCCACUGCCCAUUUUUCAAAUUUAAGUGAAUUUAAAGAGAACAUGAAAGUAGCAGUGAAAUAUGGAGCUUGCUUUUACAGAGUUUAGAUAUAUACAAAUGUCCAAGACUGUUUUGAUAAUUGUCUUUAAUUUGAGAAAGUAAUACAUUUUAACACAAGCACAUGUAAUUACAUACUUUUUGGAAAGAAUAGUUCAAUGUAUCUUGGUUCAUAUUGUUCGUUACAAAUCAACUUGAAUUGUUUAAGACUGUUCCUCUUGACAACUGCAUUUUGAAACUGAAAAGAGUGCAGUUAAAAUAGAUAGCUCAUCCAAAUAUAAAAGUUCUGUCAUCAUUUAUUCACCCUCAUGUCAUUCAAAAAUGGAUAUUUUAAGAGGUCUCGUGGUUUUGUAAACAUUGUUUUUUGUGUUCUGCAAGAGAAAGUUAAACAUUUUUGAAUGAUAUGAGGGUGAAUAAAUGAUGAUAGAAUCUUUAGGUUACCCAUGCACAUUUAUUAUUUUACAUGCUUUUAAAAUGGUUUGCAAUGUAUUUUCCUCCGUUACAAUAUGUAAAACACGACUUGACAAAACACUGGGUUCCAAAUUUAAAUUCUCAAGGAGCUGCAUGUUUACUUGUGAGUUCUUUUCAAGUAAGAAGUCAAACAUGAGAAUAAAGUCUUUGUACAAUACUAAGUGUCUGGAGAUAGAGCUCCUGGUCAUUCAACGGUGAUGUCAAGGGAUUAAUUAAUCCAUGCAAAACAGCAAGGUUCUGAUCUGAGGUCGUAGUACUUAGAAGUGACAGCUGACCAAACAUCACACCACAGACGCUCAAUUCUAAAAUAAAGACACAUUUUUUAUUAUGCUCAAAUACUGUACAUAGCAGUUACAUACAUAACUGUUGUAAUUAUAACUUUGAUGAAAGUCACUUUUACCCGCUAUUAGUUAUUGCUUUAACCAUUAAAAAUCA